ensembl:snoRNA
GUUCUCUCAGCUCUGCUCAGUUGCGCUUGUGCCGGUAGUGUAAUUGGCUUCACACGAGAGAGAGAAAGUGACUUGUUCUUUAUGCACGGCAGGGGGGCCUCCUAACGUGGUCUUCCUGUUCCUUUAUAAGGAUCUACAUGC